rnacentral:lncRNA from 1 species
AUGUGUCUGUUUUCCAGUCCAACAGGAGUGGACCCCUCAGGACAUCCUGUGUCAGUGGGAUCCUGUGUCAGUGGGAUCCUGUGCAUGGACAUCCUGUGUCAGUGGGAUCCUGUGUCAGUGGGAUCCUGUGCAUGGACAUCCUGUGCAUGGACAUCCUGUGUCAGUGGGAUCCUGUGCAUGGACAUCCUGUGUCAGUGGGAUCCUGUGCAUGGACAUCCUGUGUCAGUGGGAUCCUGUGCAUGGACAUCCUGUGCAUGGACAUCCUGUGCCAGUGGGAUCCGAGCGCAUAAAGACCCUGUGGAUGGACAGGCCAAAUACAGACAGGGAUGACUUGGGCCUUCAACAAGUAAGACACGGGGUACUGACAGGAUGAGCAAUAUGAGUCUGUCAGAGGUCGUCACGCUGGAAGGUGACGGAGGCUUUGGUGGUCCACACAACGAAGAAACAGGUGUCCCUUCCAGUGAUGUGGGACUGACCUUGGACCUGGUACCAGUAAGGAUGGUCUUUACGGAGGCGGUAAGACCCUCGCUCCUUGAUAUAGAAAUCCUUCGACUUCACUGCCUCUUCAACGGUCUGUUGCACCAUUGUCCUCCACCAGACCAUCCGGUGAGGCACCCAGGAUCCCAGACUCAAAGCCCUGACUCCUGCAUGCCCCAGGUGCCCUUGUUUUUUAACAAUGCCCGGUACAGACAGGGAUGACUGGGAGGGUAGGGGAUUUUCUGACUCAGGUUCAAGGAGACGGGGUGGCAGGUAGCCUAGUAGUUAGAGCGUUGGACUAGUAACCGAAAGGUUACAAGAUCGAAUCCCUGAGCUGACAAGGUAAAAUCUGUCCUUCUGCCCCUGAACUUGGUAGUUAACCCACUGUUCCUAAGCUGUCCUUGAAAAUAAUAAUUUGUUCUUAACUGACUUGCCUAGUUAAAUAAAGGUAAAAUUAAAAAAAGACAUGCCAAUCCACUGAACCUUCCCCAGAGACGGUUCCUUACCCUCUGAGAUCCUCCUCUGUGGGAUCUCAGGACAGAGGGUUGUAGUCUUCGCCGGGUACAGGUCCUCCACUGACUGCACCUGGUUGGGCACGGCUGGCUUCCUCCACAUUCCACAUCCAUAUGUUGGAUAUUAUGAACCACCAAAAUAGGCUACAUGGCACCGCUAAUGGAGGCAUUCACAUGUGGUAGAGAGAAUCCCCUGCCAACAGGAAGGAGGAUGACGGCCUACCCCAGUCAAACCCUAACCCGGACGACGCUGGGCCAAUUGUGAGCUGCCCUAUGGGACUCCCAAUCACGGCCGGUUAGGAUACAUCCUGGAAUCAAACCAGGGUCUGUAGUGACGCCUCUGAGAUUCAGUGCCUUAGACCACUGCGCCACUCGGGAACCCAGCUGUAGAAUUUUUAAGCACAUUUUCACAUCAGGACAAGUGCAACUUUUCCAUAACUUGUAAUUUUAUCAAUUAAAAGUGUAUCACUUAAUCCUAUAAAUUCACUGUAUGAAUUAAUGUACCACUCUGAAUAAAUAAACACUAUGCUUUUGAAGAUUUGUCUCUGCUCAUGAAACUACAAUACAGACUGGAUGUCUAAACAAAGGCAAUUCUGAAUGUCAAUAUACUUUUAGAUUCAUUCUCAUUAUUGACAACAAUCUAGAACUGAGUUAUCAGU